rnacentral:tRNA from 1 species
GGGCGAUUAGCUCAGUGGGAGAGCGCUUCCUUCACACGGAAGAGGCCGAGGGUUCGAUACCCCCAUCGCCUACCA